rnacentral:tRNA from 1 species
GGAAUUGUGGCUCAUCGGUAGAGCACGUGCUUGCCUAGCAUGUGUGAGGCCCUGGGUUCGAUCCUCAGCACCA